rnacentral:rRNA from 1 species
AGAGUGCAGUAGGGGAGACUGGAAUUCCCUGGUGUAGCGGUGAAAUGCGCAGAUAUCAGGAGGAACACCGAUGGCGAAGGCAGGUCUCUGGGCUGUAACUGACGCUGAGGAGCGAAAGCAUGGGUAGCGAACAGGAUUAGAUACCCUGGUAGUCCAUGCCGUAAACGUUGGGCACUAGGUGUGGGGGACAUUCCACGUUUUCCGCGCCGUAGCUAACGCAUUAAGUGCCCCGCCUGGGGAGUACGGCCGCAAGGCUAAAACUCAAAGGAAUUGACGGGGGCCCGCACAAGCGGCGGAGCAUGCGGAUUAAUUCGAUGCAACGCGAAGAACCUUACCAAGGCUUGACAUGGACUAGAUCGCCGCAGAGAUGCGGUUUCCCUUCGGGGCUGGUUCACAGGUGGUGCAUGGUUGUCGUCAGCUCGUGUCGUGAGAUGUUGGGUUAAGUCCCGCAACGAGCGCAACCCUCGUUCUAUGUUGCCAGCACGUUAUGGUGGGGACUCAUAGGAGACUGCCGGGGUCAACUCGGAGGAAGGUGGGGACGACGUCGAAUCAUCAUGCCCCUUAUGUCUUGGGCUUCACGCAUGCUACAAUGGCCGGUACAAAGGGUUGCGAUACUGUGAGGUGGAGCUAAUCCCAAAAAGCCGGUCUCAGUUCGGAUUGGGGUCUGCAACUCGACCCCAUGAAGUCGGAGUUGCUAGUAAUCGCAGAUCAGCAACGCUGCGGUGAAUACGUUCCCGGGCCUUGUACACACCGCCCGUCAAGUCACGAAAGUUGGUAACACCCGAAGCCGGUGGCCUAACCCCUUGUGGGAGGGAGCUGUCGAAGGUGGGACUGGCGAUUGGGACUAAGUCGUAACAAGGUACCAAUCCCGCGG